rnacentral:rRNA from 1 species
AACGAACGCUGGCGGCAUGCCUAACACAUGCAAGUCGAACGAGACCUUCGGGUCUAGUGGCGCACGGGUGCGUAACGCGUGGGAACCUGCCCUUAGGUUCGGAAUAACUCCCCUAAAGGGGUGCUAAUACCGGAUAAUGUCUUCGGACCAAAGAUUUAUCGCCUUUGGAUGGGCCCGCGUUGGAUUAGCUAGUUGGUAGGGUAAAAGCCUACCAAGGCGACGAUCCAUAGCUGGUCUGAGAGGAUGAUCAGCCACACUGGGACUGAGACACGGCCCAGACUCCUACGGGAGGCAGCAGUGGGGAAUAUUGGACAAUGGGCGAAAGCCUGAUCCAGCAAUGCCGCGUGAGUGAUGAAGGCCUUAGGGUUGUAAAGCUCUUUUACCCGGGAUGAUAAUGACAGUACCGGGAGAAUAAGCGCCGGCUAACUCCGUG